rnacentral:rRNA from 1 species
AUGGCGUCGCCUUGCUGCCUCCUCCCCUCCGUCGCCUUGCCGCCUUGGCCACGCCUGCGCCUCCAGCGCCUGACCCCGCGCCCGUCCGCCUCAGAGCCGGCCGCCACCGCCUCCUCCCUCACCUGCGGCCACGCCGCCUCCGCACCUCCAGCCGGCCACCAGAGCCCGCUCGCUGCCGCUGGGCUUCGCCUCGCCGCGCUGCCCCAGGUCGUUGCCCCUCCGGUCUCGGGCGCCGCAGCACCGGAGCGAGCUCGUCCUCCGCCGUUCAUCUCCUGCAGCUCCUCCACCGCGCCCUGCUUCUCCUCCCGUGCUGCGCCUCCACGCGUCAUCCGCAUCCCCGCGUCCCCGCCGGCUCCCGUCGCCCUGCCUCAACGCCUGUUUCACCUCCUGCGCCCUGUUUGGGUAGCCACCCAUUGCUGCCUCCGAGCACCAUCGAUGCAUCUCCGUGUGGAACCUGCCAAGUUCCCCUGGUUCCCCAAGCAACACACCGCAAGUGCCAAGUACCACGACGUCUUUGGGACCCCGUGA